rnacentral:snRNA from 1 species
GUGCUCACUUUGGCAGCACAUAGACUAAAAUCGGAACGAUACAGAGAAGAUUAGCAUGGCCCCUGCACAAGGAGGAUGUGCGAAUUCGUGAAGCGCUCCAUGUUUUC